GUGGGGAAUAUUGGGCAAUGGGCGCAAGCCUGACCCAGCAACGCCGCGUGAAGGAAGAAGGCUUUCGGGUUGUAAACUUCUUUUAAGGGGGAAGAGCAGAAGACGGUACCCCUUGAAUAAGCCACGGCUAACUACGUGCCAGCAGCCGCGGUAAUACGUAGGUGGCAAGCGUUGUCCGGAUUUACUGGGUGUAAAGGGCGUGUAGCCGGAGAGGCAAGUCAGAUGUGAAAUCCGCGGGCUCAACCCGCGAACUGCAUUUGAAACUGCUUCCCUUGAGUAUCGGAGAGGUAACCGGAAUUCCUAGUGUAGCGGUGAAAUGCGUAGAUAUUAGGAAGAACACCAGUGGCGAAGGCGGGUUACUGGACGACAACUGACGGUGAGGCGCGAAAGCGUGGGGAGCAAACAGG
rnacentral:rRNA from 1 species